GAGAUCAUGACGUUGGACACUCAACUGACUGAGCCACACAGGUGUACUGAGGGUCAUGGAAUUUCCUUCUGAGGAUGGAGUUAACCACCAAAAAGGGUCACAGCCAUCAUGAGGAACAGACACCGUCUCUCUGAAGGCGCAUCAGAUCUGCCAGAGUAAAAGACCAAGGGAAGCUCCAGGAACAAACUGGAAAUCAGGACAUGUUUGGAUGGAAGAGAAACAGAGCGCAACCGCCCGUCUGCCUCAUUCUCUGAUACAGACGGGUCCACUUUAAUGUGACCAGGCAGCCAAGAGCCAGGGAGGACGAGGUUUGGCGAAAAGAGGAGGCUGCAAACCAGAGAAAGCCCAGCGCCAGCGGAAGGAAGCUCUCUGUGAAAAGCCGCCCCACUGUAGCUGCUGCCUUUUGAAAAAUACAAACGGUGUUUGGAACGAAUACAUCAUCUCCUUGCAGGGAUCUUAGACUCCUGAUCGGGCUGACUGUGCCCGGCUCCCCCAUCAAUGGCUGUAUCUUAUCUAACUAGCAAGUGUGAAAGUCGAUUUCUUUUUUAAUCAGGGAGCUAUGGAAACAAGCUUAUUUUGUGAUUUAGUCUUAACUCACGGAAGCACUAAUGAUCAUUAAAAAUGACGCUAAAGCUUAAAAAAAUACACACAUUUUUGAUCUGUUGUCACGAGGAUGCUAAGAUAUUACACACAAGUGACUUCAAGUAUUUUCAGCACUUGAACAUGAAAAAUGACAUUUCUUACUAAAUUCAGCAUUACAGUAGUUAUGAGGAAUCUGGGAAUUAAAGUAUUUCUGGGGAAGAUAUAUUUCUCCCAGCAGAUAAAGUCUCAGCAACAGCCACAAUUAGAGCGGGCUGAAAAAUGUAAACUCAGUGAGCAGUGAUGCUUUUUGUGACAAAUGGUCUGCUGAGGGCCUGAUAGAUGUUAAUGAUAGAAAAAAAAAACCUGGUUUGGCAUUGUUAUUGCAGUUGAAUAGUUUAAGAAGAAAAAAAAUGAAAAGAACCUUUCUAUGAUUGGGCAGGAAAGAAGAAAAACAUUUCAUAUUUAGCUACAUCGUAUGAAUUAGUUCUGAGACUACAGAAGCCACACGAAAAAGACCGUUGGGUUCAUCGUUGGGGUCUUUGGUGGCCAAGAAACUAAGAUUUGGAGCUGCCGCUUGGAGUUAUGAAAUUGGUUGAGAAGCAGUGGACUUCCUUUUUCCAAUUAAGUAUCUGUGGGAAGCCAAAUAUUCUUUACAGGGUUCAACCAAAACAACGUAUCGCGACAAAUCAAGCAGAUGCAGAUGUGAGAAAGCAGCCGUAUUUGUUGAUUAGGAAUUAUAGAGGUUUUCAAGCACGCAAAAUAAUGACACUCUUCCACCUUAAUUGUAUUUUUUUGGUUGUUCUGGAAACUACUUAUUGUCUAUAAAGCCAUGUCAUUUAUGUUACCAUAUAAUAGUUUUGUUAUUUUAAAUGUGUUAAAUAAAUCUUUAGAAAUGUU